AACGAACGCUGGCGGCAGGCUUAACACAUGCAAGUCGAACGCCCCGCAAGGGGAGUGGCAGACGGGUGAGUAACGCGUGGGAAUCUACCCAUCCCUACGGAACAACUCCGGGAAACUUGUGCUAAUACCGUAUACGCCCUUCGGGGGAAAGAUUUAUCGGAGAUGGAUGAGCCCGCGUUGGAUUAGCUAGUUGGUGGGGUAAAAGCCUACCAAGGCGACGAUCCAUAGCUGGUCUGAGAGGAUGAUCAGCCACAUUGGGACUGAGACACGGCCCAAACUCCUACGGGAGGCAGCAGUGGGGAAUAUUGGACAAUGGGCGCAAGCCUGAUCCAGCCAUGCCGCGUGAGUGAUGAAGGCCCUAGGGUUGUAAAGCUCUUUCACCGAUGAAGAUAAUGACUGUAGUCGGAGAAGAAGCCCCGGCUAACUUCGUGCCAGCCGCCGCAGUAAAAC
rnacentral:rRNA from 1 species